rnacentral:rRNA from 1 species
AGCGAACGCUGGCGGCAGGCCUAACACAUGCCAGUCGAACGAACCUUUCGGGGUUAGUGGCGGACGGGUGAGUAACACGUGGGAACGUGCCUUUAGGUUCGGAAUAACUCAGGGAAACUUGUGCUAAUACCGAAUGUGCCCUUCGGGGGAAAGAUUAAUCGCCUUUAGAGCGGCCCGCGUCUGAUUAGCUUGUUGGUUGAGGUAAUGGCUCACCAAGGCGACGAUCAGUAGCUGGUCUGAGAGGAUGAUCAGCCACAUUGGGACUGAGACACGGCCCAAACUCCUACGGGAGGCAGCAGUGGGGAAUCUUGCGCAAUGGGCGAAAGCCUGACGCAGCCAUGCCGCGUGAAUGAUGAAGGUCUUAGGAUUGUAAAAUUCUUUCACCGGGGACGAUAAUGACGGUACCCGGAGAAGAAGCCCCGGCUAACUUCGUG